GGGGAUGGUUGAGUCCCGGUGGGUUCCUCGGUCUUCAAAAUCGGUGGCGGGCUGUUAUGCAGGCCGCGGUGGGUUCGACUCCCAUCCAUCCCCG
rnacentral:tRNA from 1 species